rnacentral:rRNA from 1 species
UACGGAGGGGGCUAGCGUUGUUCGGAAUUACUGGGCGUAAAGGGCGCGUAGGCGGCUUGGUCAGUCCCGUGUGAAAUCCCCUCGGCUCAACUGAGGAACUGCACGGGAAACUGCCUGGCUUGAGUUCGGGAGAGGGAAGCGGAAUUCCGGGUGUAGCGGUGAAAUGCGUAGAUAUCCGGAGGAACACCGGUGGCGAAGGCG